GAGGCUAUAGCUCAGUGGUAGAGUGUGUGCUUGGCAUGCAUAAGGUCCUGGGUUCAAUCCCCAGUAUUUCCA
rnacentral:tRNA from 1 species